rnacentral:SRP_RNA from 16 species
GCAGCCUCACUGCAAGGGUGGCCUCGUUGGGGAAGUCAGAAGAGGAUGAAGCUGCUGAGGCUGGCAACAGGCCCUCCA